CUCGGAAAUAAUAAAAGAACGGUUGACUUUUGUUUGACCAUCCAAACAGAAGAAGAGUCCAGGUCCAAAAGAGGGCAAGGCGAGCCAUGGUGAGUGGUGGUGGGAUGGAGGUGGAGGUGCGCGUCGUGGGCGGUGCCCGGAGCUGCUUCGUCGCGCUCCCGCUCCACCUCAUCGAGGCCCUCUCCCGCACUUCCGCCUCAGGCGACCUCCCGCCCGUCCUCGCGCUCGACCUCCGCGCGGCCGCCGGCGCACGGUGGUCCCUAGCCUGGUCCGGCGCCGCGUCCCGAUCCCGCGCCAUCGAGGUUGCACAGGAGUUGGCAGAGUGCAUUUCAUUGCCUGAUGGAACGAUAGCUCAACUCAGUGUAGCUCGCUCUCUGACCAUAGCUGACUCGGUCAGUAUAGAGCCCUUUAGUGAGGAUGAUUGGGAGAUACUAGAGAGCCGUGCUGAUUUGGCUGAAGAAACGAUUUUGCAGCAGGUCGGUAUUGUUUAUGAGGGCAUGAAAUUUCCGCUGUGGUUGGAUGGCCAUAAUAUUGUAAAGUUUGUUGUGGUUUCAUCUNNNNNNNNNNNNNNNNNNGUUCAACUUGUGCCGGGAACUGAAGUUGCCGUGGCACCCAAAAAACGUAAAGAGAAAUUUCAAGACGUGCAAAAGCAAGGUUCAUUGAAGGAACAGGUCGAAACAAAGGCACUCUUGCGUGUUCAAGCAGCAGAUAGAAAGUAUGCACAUAAAUUUAAAUCUAAGGGCAUCGAGCUGGGGGUGGUUCUGAGCUAUGCUGUGCUGAUACAUCCAGAUACAGCUGCAAGGACUUCAUUUGGUAAUCUGCAGUUGGUCACUAUUUCAUCUAAAUCAUUGUCUAAGGGGCUUACUGAACAAGGCAAAGAAGCUGCACAAAAGAAGGGUGUUUCAGUACCCAAAAGGACCCGAGAAGUAGUUGUCUAUGUCUUAUUCUCAGACUCUGUUGCUAAAGGACAUGUUAUGCUUCCCUACUCUAUUCGUCACUUUAUAAGUGCAGACACACAUUCAUGGGUUUAUGUGACGAAAUACACUGCUAAUGUCAAGAAGGAUGAGCCUAUAAUGAAAAUGUGUCCUUUACAUUUCAGUAUGCACGAAAAAUAUGUGCAUGAUAACAGCGAUUUAGGCGGUCAUGAAAAGGACACUUGGAGGAACACCAGUAUUCCUUCAGAAAAUAGCAAUUUCUUUCAGAAAGCUCCUAACAAUGAGCAUCUUCUGAGUGCAGAUGCUGAUAGUAUUUCUGAAUCCAUGUCAGAACAGAAGGCACUUAUUAAGCAUUGGCUUAUUGGGCAACUUAAAGAAAUGGCCUUUCAUGCUGAAAAUUCUGAGAUAAUUUCAGUAGUUUUACCAGCCAAAGUUUUGAUCCAUUUUGAAGUGGUAGAUGGGAAACUAAGAAAAGGAGAUGAUUUUCUCUACCUGUUAACAACUACUUUUGAAAACCCUGGUUACAACAAUUCACAAGGCAAUGUUGAGAUUACUUGGAAAGCCCCAACUGAUUAUUUAGAAAACUUGGAAUUGAAUUUCGGGAGGUUGGAGCUGGGUGAAGCUUUAUCAUUUGAUUCUGUAGUGGACGAUGGCUUCGACAAUGAUUUUAAGCUGACUCGAUCUUCGUUAGGUUGGAUGGAGAAUGCAAUGUCGGAUGUGACAAAAAGACUAUCCGUGCUCGUGUCUUCAACUGCUCUGAGGUUAUUUAACAGGCUAAAGCUUCCCUUUCCUGGACAUGUUCUUGUCCAUGGGCCUCGAGGUUCUGGGAAAACUGCUUUGACACGGGCUGCUGCAAAAUACUUUGAAGACCAUCAAGAGAUACUAGCACACAUAAUAUAUAUGGAUUGUUCCAAACUUGCAAUUGGCAAGGCUAAGGAGACAAGGCAAACAGUUGAAGAGAGCAUUUCUGAAGCUUUGCUUCAUUCACCUUCUAUCAUCAUAUUUGAUGAUCUAGACAAUGUAAUUUCAGUGUCUUCAGAUCCUCAAGUAUCCCAAUCGUCCAGUUCUUCUGAUUCGCUAGUAAGAUACUUGACUGACAUCCUGGACGAGUACAAGGAUAAAAGUCGUAAUGCAUGUGGAUAUGGACCUAUUGCACUGAUGGCUUCAGUUCAAUCACUUCAGAGUCUUCCUCAAGAGCUGACAUCAUCUGGGAGAUUUGAUUUCCACGUUGAACUCCGUGCUCUUGCCAUCCCUGAGCGUGAAGCACUAUUGAAACAUCAAGUUGAGGAGCAUAAGUUACAGUGUUCUGAGGAAAUUAUUUCAGAGAUAGCGUUGAAAUGUGAUGGCUAUGAUGCAUAUGACUUGGGAAUUCUGGUUGAUAGGGCUGUGCACGCUGCUGCCUCUCGCUUUGUCCUUCCUUCUGCCUGUUUGAACUCUGUAAACCCAACGCUGGUGAAGGAAGACUUCUUGAAAGCGCUGCAUGACUUCCUUCCUGUUGCCAUGCGUGAUCUUAGGAAAUAUGCUCCUGAUGGUAAUAAUGGUGGUUGGGAAGAUGUUGGAGGGCUUAAUGAAGCAGUAACUAUUAUUAAAGAGACUCUUGAAUUGCCAUCAAAAUACCCAAACGUCUUUACUAAGGCACCUGUACGGAUGCGGUCGAACAUCCUCCUCUAUGGACCACCUGGAUGCGGUAAAACACAUAUUGUGAGGGUUGCAGCUGCAGCUUGUUCUCUGCGGUUCAUUUCAGUCAAGGGUCCAGAGCUGUUGAAUAAGUACAUUGGUUCUUCUGAGCAAUCUGUUCGUGACUUUUUUGCAAAGGCUGCUGCGGCAGCACCAUGCUUACUAUUUUUUGAUGAAUUUGACUCCAUUGCACCCCAACGAGGAACACAUAGUGCAGGAGUUUCUGAUCGUGUUGUCAAUCAGUUCUUAACUGAACUAGAUGGUGUGGAAACCUUGACUGGAGUAUUUGUAUUUGCUGCUACAAGCAAACCACAAUUAAUUGAUGCGGCACUCUUGCGCCCUGGAAGAUUCGAUCGUCUUGUCUUUUGUGAUUUUCCUCGAUGGGAUGAGCGUGUAGAAAUUCUGAAAGUGCACUCUAGGACGGUUUCACUGGCAAGUGAUGCCAGUUUGGAAGACGUUGCUUCCUUGACUGAAGGAUUUACUGGUGCUGAUCUCGCGGCUAUUCUAACAGAUGCUGGGUUGGCAGCGGUUCAUGAAGUUCUGGACAGCAGGCAGGACGGUAUCCCGGAAAGAGAACCAUGUAUCAGCAAAGAACUUCUCAUGUCUGUUGCUAUGAAGGCUAGACCUUCUACACCAGCUGAUGAUAAGUCGGGGUACGAUAAGGAGUUUGGCGAAUUUGUGUCGUCCAGGAAGUCCCUUUCCACGAAGGCUAGAGAGUCGAAAGGCAAGAAGGUGACGCUGGCUUGACUACCUCCUUCAAGAUUGACAACUAACUACAUGGGACAAAUAAGGUCACCUGCAUGCUUUGAUCUGCAUUGCUCCUAAAAGAAAAUCCAUGCUAAUAUGAAAUCCCCGAACAUUUGGAUGGACAUUGGGUUUCCUCUGAAUGCAGAUGUUUGGUCUAGUUUCUCUGAUGUCCAGAUGGCGCGGAACAAAAGAACCCGGCUAAGGCUAGCUUAUUUUGUACUACCACAGAAGAGGAAGGGAUCUGCACAAAAUUCUGAAUCGAGAGUGAAGGUGUUGCCAUCUACCGUGGAUAUGCGACACUGUACCUACCAGUGUGUCCUAGUUUUUCUAAUCGAAUUAAGAGCGUCCCCGCGUAGGGAAGACACGUGCCAACGGGGAGGUCCUGGUUUUGGUGGUUUGACUCUUGGCUAUGUUUGUUUUGAGGAGGUACCGAUCCGCUUCCCUUGUGAAUAAAGACAAUAAGUGGGAUUUUGUGUUGCUACUGCUGAAUAAGCGCCACAGCAAGGGAUACUAUGGCCUGCAGAUUGAUUUCAGCAUAAGAUAGGUUUACACAAAUUCCAAACUAGUUGCAUAAUAUAUAGACAAUGCAAAAGAAAAACUGUUGUAUAAACAUCAAUUUUCUGAUAUGUUUCCCCACAACAAUUUUAUGUGAUAGAAAACUAGGAAGCAUUCUUUGUUCAAUGGGAAUUUGGCAUAACAUUGUUUCUCAAUGAAUUGCGUUUCGUUU
rnacentral:rRNA from 1 species